AUUGAACGCUGGCGGCAGGCCUAACACAAGAAAGUCGAACGAGUGGCGGACGGGUGAGUAAUGUCUGGGACACUGCCUGAGGGAGGGGGAUAACUACUGGAAACGGUAGCUAAUACCGCAUAACAUCAGAUGUGCCCAGAUGGGAUUAGCUAGUUGGUGGGGUAACGGCUAACAAAGGCGCAGAUCCCUAGCUGGUCUGAGAGGAUGACCGGCCACACUGGAACUGAGACACGGUCCAGACUCCUACGGGAGGCAGCAGUGGGGAAUAUUGCGCAAUGGGCGCAAGCCUGAUGCAGCAAUGCCGCGUGAAUGAAGAAGGCCUUCGGGUUGUAAAGUACUUUCAGCGGGGAGGCGGUACCCACAGAAGAAGCACCGGCUAACUCCGUGCCAGCAGCCGCGGUAAUAC
rnacentral:rRNA from 1 species